GUAACUGUGGGGAGGACAUAUUGUGCUGCUGAGAGACUGCUGGGAGAGCUCUGAAGGGACGGAGAAAGAGCACGGGAGAUGCUGCGCUGACGGGGACGCUCUACUCAGUGUAGUCAGCCUCAGACAGCAUCAGAACUGGGUUCAGGACGGUACCUGCUUUAAUCGACGAGCUCCGGUGAUCGAGCGGAGCUGGUUCGGUCUUCCAGAGAACUCCCAUGUCAGUGAUGAGGGAGGCGGCCUAGAGAGAAGUUGUGUGCACACUGAUCCUCACUUCACGGAGAAGCAACGCCAGGAUGAUUUCUGCAGUUAUGGAGUUUGAGUCAUCCCCAAUAAAGAGCAUCACGCCUUGAGUCUGCUCUAAGGAAGAAACAUUGCAAAUUCAUAAUCGAGGUUGUGGAGAAUGUUACAAAAGAAAGAAACACAUGGUGGUACAUGAUACGCCAGGACUGGUUCCACUCAUUAUAGAUCAAUAGAGAAAAAUCUGGUUGUUCAUAGUACACCAAGGGUUAAAGAUCUCAUUAAUAAAGAAUGGGAUCUCAUGGAUAAA